AUUGAACGCUGGCGGCAGGCCUAACACAUGCAAGUCGAACGAGUGGCGGACGGGUGAGUAAUGUCUGUGAAACUGCCUGAUGGAGGGGGAUAACUACUGGAAACGGUAGCUAAUACCGCAUACCAUCGGAUGUUCCCAGAUGGGAUUAGCUAGUAGGUGGGGUAAAGGCUCACCUAGGCGACGAUCCCUAGCUGGUAUGAGAGGAUGACCAGCCACACUGGAACUGCGACACGGUCCAAACCCCUACGGUAGGCAGCAGUGGGGAAUAUUGCACAAUGGGCGCAAGCCGUAUGCAGCCAUGCCGCGUGUAUGAAGAAGGCCUUCGGUUUGUAAAGUACUUUCAGCGGGGAGGCGUUACCCGCAGAAGAAGCACCGGCUAACUCCGUGCCAGCCGCCGCGGUAAUAC
rnacentral:rRNA from 1 species